rnacentral:lncRNA from 1 species
GCUUGCUUUUGCUUAGCGUAUUAAUAUAUAAGCGUGGUGUUUUUGAUGAUUUUUAACUAACAAAUACUUAUCUACGUAUGUGAUUGAUAUUUUUUAUGGAACCAUAUCAGGACAAAGUUCUGUAAACACAUCGAUUUUUCUGAUGUGAGUAAAUCGAAAUGUGACUUUACGAAAAUGCAUUAAAAGUGGCUUGCAAGUGCCCUAUAGCUAUCGAUUUUUCAUCCGUACGUCCGUCUGCGGUCCAUGAAUAAUUAUUUUAAAUGAAAAAAAGACUCGGUAUUGUUAGGAGCACGUUGAUAAUUUUUGUACAGCUGCUGUGCAUCAUAUGUAGCUGUGGAUGUCAUAAAAUGGAGAAAAUAGGAAAAUCAUAAUAAAAAAGUCUUUAAAAAUCACAAAUGCUGAGAAAUAAUUUUUAUGAACUCACAAUUUGAAAGUAUGAGAAAGAUUGCGAGACACUUUGGUGUCAGCAUUAACUUUUCUUUCGCCGUUUUUAAAAUGGUCUCCUUAAUAGGAUAUAUUAUGUCCAGUUUCGCAAGUCAAAAAUUAUCCAUUGAUUCUAAUUUUCAAUAUAUCUGUUGUUCACUUUUUAAAAACAUGGUGAUUUUUUUUUAAUUGAUUCAGUAAAACUCAAUGGCAAAUACAAAUAGGCACGUUUUAUCUGGACUAAAUUUCAUUUUGAGCUUGUGCCAAAAACUAAAAAAAAAUAGAUUAGUUAUGGACAAUCAAGGAACGUUUACAUCAAAUUUUAUCAUUUCUAUCGUUGCUCCACACAAAAAUGUACAACUAAGCACCCAGUUUCAUAUUUGAAAUUCUUGCUCGAAGGUUGUAAACAAGGCAUGAUAAACUUGAUUGUUCAUGUAGUAUUAAUCAAGAGUAUGAAACAGGAACCGCACAAACUAUAACAAGCAAUUUAAAGCUUUCAUAUAGGUUUGCUCAAUU